CGCAAACGGGAUUAGAUACCCCGGUAGUCCAGGGUGUAAACGCUGCUUGCUUGAUGUUAGUCGGGAUCCGAGCCCGAUUAGUGUCGGAGAGAAGUUGUUAAGCAAGCUGCCUGGGGAGUACGGCCGCAAGACUGAAACUUAAAGGAAUUGGCGGGGGAGCACCGCAACGGGUGGAGCGUGCGGUUUAAUUGGAUUCAACGCCGGAAAACUCACCGGAGGCGACGGUCACAUGAAGGCCAGGCUGACGACCUUGCCUGAUUCUCCGAGAGGUGGUGCAUGGCCGCCGUCAGUUCGUACCGUAGGGCGUUCUGUUAAGUCAGACAACGAACGAGACCCUCAUCUUUAGUUGCAACUGGUAAGUCCGCUUAUCAGGCACACUAGAGAAACCGCUGGUGAUAAAUCAGAGGAAGGUGAGGGCAACGGUAGGUCAGUAUGCCCUGAAUCCUCCGGGCUACACGCGCGCUACAAAGGCUAGGACAAUGGGUCCCGACACCGAAAGGUGAAGGUAAUCUCGAAACCUAGUCAUAGUUCGGAUUGAGGGUUGUAACUCAUCCUCAUGAAGGUGGAAUCCGUAGUAAUCGCGGAUCAAC
rnacentral:rRNA from 1 species